rnacentral:rRNA from 1 species
AUUCCAGCUCCAAUAGCGUAUAUUAAAGUUGUUGCAGUUAAAAAGCUCGUAGUCGGAUUUUGGCAUCACGCCGAACUGUCUGCCGAUUGGUAAGUACGGUUUGGCGGGUGCUUCCUUCCGGAGGCUCGUUCCCUUCUUCAUUGAAGGGUUCGUUGGUUCCGGGUCUUUUACUUUGAGAAAAUUAGAGUGUUCAAAGCAGGCCUAUGCUCUGAAUAGGUUAGCAUGGAAUAAUAGAAUAGGACUUUGGUUCUAUUUUGUUGGUUUCUAGGACCGAAGUAAUGAUUAAUAGGGACAGUUGGGGGCAUUCAUAUUCCAUUGUCAGAGGUGAAAUUCUUGGAUUAACGGAAGAUGAACUUCUGCGAAAGCAUCUGCCAAGGAUGUUUUCAUUG